AUUUGCUAACAAUAUUUAAUAUAUUUUAAAUGUGCUAAAAUUGGAUUCAACAGCAAAAGUCGCAUAAAUAACAUAUAAAUAACGAAUUUGUUUACCUAUUACAAAUGGGGUUAUGUGGUUGUAACUGUUUAUUUUGGGAAUAAAAUGAAAAUGAUCAAUUAAACGACUGGAAAACUAUAGUAAAGUGAAGAACAUCUUGAAGUUCCAAUGAUGUUUCAAGAUGAGAUAAAUCGAAAUAAUGGUUGUAUGUUAGAAGGACAGAGAAUACGAAGAAAUGUUAUUGCUGCAUACUUAGUGUAGUGAAAUACAAACUUCAAACAUUAUAA